rnacentral:rRNA from 1 species
UGGCGACCGGCGCACGGGUGAGUAACACGUAUCCAACCUACCGGUUAUUCCGGGAUAGCCUUUCGAAAGAAAGAUUAAUACCGGAUAGUAUAACGAGAAGGCAUCUUUUUGUUAUUAAAGAAUUUCGAUAACCGAUGGGGAUGCGUUCCAUUAGUUUGUUGGCGGGGUAACGGCCCACCAAGACAUCGAUGGAUAGGGGUUCUGAGAGGAAGGUCCCCCACAUUGGAACUGAGACACGGUCCAAACUCCUACGGGAGGCAGCAGUGAGGAAUAUUGGUCAAUGGACGAGAGUCUGAACCAGCCAAGUAGCGUGAAGGAUGACUGCCCUAUGGGUUGUAAACUUCUUUUAUAUGGGAAUAAAGUGAGCCACGUGUGGCUUUUUGUAUGUACCAUACGAAUAAGGAUCGGCUAACUCCGUGCCAGCAGCCGCGGUAAUACGGAGGAUCCGAGCGUUAUCCGGAUUUAUUGGGUUUAAAGGGAGCGUAGGCGGACGCUUAAGUCAGUUGUGAAAGUUUGCGGCUCAACCGUAAAAUUGCAGUUGAUACUGGGUGUCUUGAGUACAGUAGAGGCAGGCGGAAUUCGUGGUGUAGCGGUGAAAUGCUUAGAUAUCACGAAGAACUCCGAUUGCGAAGGCAGCCUGCUGGACUGUAACUGACGCUGAUGCUCGAAAGUGUGGGUAUCAAACAGGAUUAGAUACCCUGGUAGUCCACACAGUAAACGAUGAAUACUCGCUGUUUGCGAUAUACAGUAAGCGGCCAAGCGAAAGCGUUAAGUAUUCCACCUGGGGAGUACGCCGGCAACGGUGAAACUCAAAGGAAUUGACGGGGGCCCGCACAAGCGGAGGAACAUGUGGUUUAAUUCGAUGAUACGCGAGGAACCUUACCCGGGCUUGAAUUGCAACUGAAUGAUGUGGAGACAUGUCAGCCGCAAGGCAGUUGUGAAGGUGCUGCAUGGUUGUCGUCAGCUCGUGCCGUGAGGUGUCGGCUUAAGUGCCAUAACGAGCGCAACCCUUAUCUUUAGUUACUAACAGGUCAUGCUGAGGACUCUAGAGAGACUGCCGUCGUAAGAUGUGAGGAAGGUGGGGAUGACGUCAAAUCAGCACGGCCCUUACGUCCGGGGCUACACACGUGUUACAAUGG